UACGUAGGGGGCAAGCGUUAUCCGGAAUUACUGGGUGUAAAGGGUGAGUAGGCGGCAAUGUAGGUAAGAUGUGAAAGCCCGCGGCUUAACCGCGGGAUUGCAUUUUAAACUAUGUAGCUAGAGUACAGGAGAGGAAAGCGGAAUUCCUAGUGUAGCGGUGAAAUGCGUAGAUAUUAGGAAGAACACCAGUGGCGAAGGCGGCUUUCUGGACUGAAACUGACGCUGAGGCACGAAAGCGUGGGGAGCGAAC
rnacentral:rRNA from 1 species